UCAUCUAACCUGGAGAUUGGUCCCAACUUCCCAUUGCCUGUGCAAGCCUUCCCAAUCUAUAAAAUCAGAGGGAAGAAGACUCACCAUUUUCAGGGCAGCAUAAAUUCUUGUGGUUACCUUCCUCAACGCCUGCUUUGAAUGGAGAUUUAUCCUUAUUUUGCAGAGCAAAGGAAAAUACCCUUCAACUGUGACUUCUUCAUACAGAAGAAGAUCCAUACUGCAACACCAAAAUUACAGUUUUGCAGGCCAGGAGAGCUUUGAAGCCUAUAUCACAUUCUACAUUCUUUGAAGACUAGAACACAUUCUACUGAUUUCUUUUCUCCUCCUU